rnacentral:rRNA from 1 species
ACGGGUGAGUAAUACAUCGGAACGUGCCCAAGAGUGGGGGAUAACGGAGCGAAAGCUUUGCUAAUACCGCAUACGAUCUACGGAUGAAAGCAGGGGACCGCAAGGCCUUGCGCUCAUGGAGCGGCCGAUGGCAGAUUAGGUAGUUGGUGGGAUAAAAGCUUACCAAGCCGACGAUCUGUAGCUGGUCUGAGAGGACGACCAGCCACACUGGGACUGAGACACGGCCCAGACUCCUACGGGAGGCAGCAGUGGGGAAUUUUGGACAAUGGGCGCAAGCCUGAUCCAGCCAUGCCGCGUGCAGGAUGAAGGCCUUCGGGUUGUAAACUGCUUUUGUACGGAACGAAAAGCCUCUUUCUAAUAAAGAGGGGUCAUGACGGUACCGUAAGAAUAAGCACCGGCUAACUACGUGCCAGCAGCCGCGGUAAUACGUAGGGUGCGAGCGUUAAUCGGAAUUACUGGGCGUAAAGCGUGCGCAGGCGGUAAUGUAAGACAGAUGUGAAAUCCCCGGGCUCAACCUGGGAACUGCAUUUGUGACUGCAUUGCUGGAGUGCGGCAGAGGGGGAUGGAAUUCCGCGU